UCAGGCUAUAAAUACGCCUUCAAAAUGUAGUUCGAGAUAUAAGAUACAGUUUGAUGUAGACUAAGUGAUUGUCAGAAUGUUGGCCAAUGUAACAAAAGUAUUGGAGGUUAUACUGAAGACUUUUGGAGAACAUGUCUCGGAUAUCAAAGAUAACCAAGCGGUCAUUGUUUCUGGUGGACAUUUUGAGGUCAUUUUGGACAAUCUACGUCUUCCCCGUGCAUUGACAGUGUAUGGAGGAGUUUCUCAAGUGGAAAAAUACAUGGCUAGAUUAGGUGAUAAUAUUAAACGUAUUACCUGAAGACAUAAGAGAGGGGUUUGGAAGAGUACGAGAUCUAUUAGCAGGAAGAUAUUCUACAGUCUCAAGUCUACAAUCUGCCUGAUGUGUAUUUAACUAGCUCAGUGCACGUUGCUAAUGCCACCGUUUCCAUCGUACGUACAUUAAUCUAUCCUAGACUGUAGAUUGAAUCACAGUUAGCGAGAUGUAACUCUAGUUCAGUCAGUAAAUUAAAUGACACAGUCUGGUAGGCAUGUCUUGAACCAACCAAAGACAAAGUAAGUGAAAAGAAACAUUCAAAUAAACAGAAGCCUUUGUAACAAUCGGUCAGAAGAUAGGCUAAUUUGUAAAACCGUAAAGUUUUCUUGUAUUUUGAUUAGUAACAUUUUGAAAUGAUACAGUAGUAAUAAUGAUAAACGUUGUUUGCUCCACAGUGAAAUGGCACAUUCUGUCUGUUUCAAUAUACAUAAUGCAUGGUAUUUGUUGUCUCUAACACAAUACACUAAAUGAUGCUUGUUUGUCUGUUCCAUAAGAUAAUAAAUGACAUACGUUGAUUUUCCACAGUAAAAUAUGUAUUUGUUGUUUAUUUCGCAGAUCGAUAACAGUUAUUUAUUGUCUGUUCCAAUACGUAAUAUGUGGUAUUUGUGGUCUGUUUUACAAGAUAAUCAAUGACAUUUUUGGCCUAUUUCAUAAUAUCCCAAAUUUACUUGUUGUCCGUUUCAAAAUGCAUUAAAUUAUAUUUAUUAUCUGUUCUACAAUAAAGUCUAACACGUCCUAUGAACAAAUAUUUUUUCUUUACAG